UGAUUAAAUACACAAGCUCUUUAUUAUAAAUUUCAGGUAGAAUUCCCAGCAGAAAUGCUUCCGCUCAAUACUUAUUUCUUUGCCUCUCCACAGUGACGCAGCCUUUAAGUGAAUCCAGCUUCCCCUUUCACUCUGCUGGUUGCAAAAGGGGAACCCGGGACUCUGCGACCGUCGUAAAUGUGAGUCGGCAGUCAAGCAUCCGAAUGCAAAUCACCUGACCAUGAGGGGAUGCUCCAACGGCCAAAAUCACGGGAUGAAGACCGGCAGCCGAGGAGGAUGUGAGCCAGCCGGAUUGAAGGGAG